GAUCAGUCCAAAUUCAGCUUCCAUCGAUUUCAUCAAUCCAGAAGUGGAUUCUACCGACAAAUUUCGCCGCUAGCCAACUCUCGCAAUCUGAGAUAUCACGAAAUCUGAGGUAAAUUGCAACGCAGCCAUUCGUCAAAAUAAAGAACAGAAUGCAAAAGAAUAGUUGCAAAAAGAAAGAAUAAAUCCUUAACGGAAAUGGCGAAAUGUCUUUUAAUCAAUGUAGGAUUCGAGAAAAAGUACUGUAAGUCUGUUUACUUUGCUAACUACUUGCAAAAUAGGUGUAGACUAACCACUGAGUCUACACGUAUAAACUCGAUAAAGAGAUGGUGUAGUAUGGAUUUUGAUCUUAAGGAUACACAUACUUUCAAAUGUAAGGCAUAUGCACACAUACCCAAAGAAUAAAAAAAGUUGGGCAAUAAAGAUAAAGAGUACAGAUUUUCAGGUUUCAAUGAGAAUUCUAAAGAAUAUCGCCUUUUAGAUAACAGUAUGGACAAAAUUAUUAUGAAUCGUGACAUCAAGUUUAUAGAUUCAAUGAAUAUUUUACCAUUAAGGAAAAGGAGUCUUUAUCAAAUAAAAAUAAUCUUUUGAAAAUAGAGUUCACGAAUUAAGCUUUGGUUAAUAUAGAGGUAAAUGGAGAAGAUACCGAAGAAAGUGAAAAAAUCCGAGAAGAAAACACCGAAGACGACAUUGAAGAACAUGGAGAAGGAAAUGAAGAUGAAGAUCAUCAUACAAAACCAAAGAAAAAUCGAAGAUCUUAUAAGGACAAUUUUGCUGAACAUGCUAUUGUUUUUUGGACAUAGCCAUAAAAGGGGAAGGUAUACAUUGGCAAUGACUAAUGAAAUGGUAUGCUGGAUAAAGAUGUCUGCAAUUUAGUUGAACGAUGUAAAGGAAAAGAUGUUAUCGAUUGUUGUAUAUAUGGUAUUAACCAAUAAGUACAGACCAGAUGGAAGAGUUGAUAGAAAGAAAAUUAGGUCGGUAGCCACAAGCUUUAGUUAAAUACUUCAGAUGGACUUUAACGAAAAUGUUGUGCUUAUAGCGUAUAUGAGUUCGAUUCGCUUAUAUCGAUAUCGCCACCGAGUGGAUACGCAAUAUUUAUCAAGUGUAUAUAAUCACUGCUUAUUUAAAGCAAUUAUUGGAUGAAGAACAAAUACGGAAUAGUAAACGGCGGAUGAAUAAAAAAACUUUUACAAAUAAAUUUGUCAUUUGUAUUUAAUAUUAGAUAUAUAACUGAAAAUAAAUGUUAAAAAUAUUAUUUAUUUGAUGUUAAAAAUAUAAUUGAAAAUGAUUACCACAUUAAGAUUUACCUAAAAGCAAAUGAAUUGUCAAAUUAAAUGAUUAAUUCUAUAUUCAGUAAUAGUUUUAGAUACGAAAAUUAUAAAAAUGUACAUUGAAUUAAAAAGAUUGAUAUUUAAUCACAGUGUGGUAUCUUUUAAAACAAUUAGGCAUGUGCAAGGCAACUUUACGCUCAAACAUUGCACAUCUUUUGGUGUUCUUUUUUUGAGCGGCUUGAUCAAUAUAUUUUGGGAAAUGAGCCCACUGUUGUAGUCUCAAUUCGCACAAUAUAAAAAUUAUGCAAAAUAUUAUGAUCCAGCCAAAGUAGUAUGUAUUGACGAAUCUAUAAUACCAUUUUGAGACCGUGUCGUUUUUAGACAAUAUAUAAAACAAAAACGGCACCGAUAUAGUAGCUUCAAACUAGAAUAUACCUAUAACUUUGAAAUAUACUGCAAUAAACGAUUUGGCAAGAAGAGAACUAUUCCUACAGGUGUUGCCACUUCACUUUGUAAAAAUAUUGUUGAUAAAGGACAUACUUUCUGCAUUGAUAAUUGAUAUAUUAGCAUAGAUUUAGCAGAAGAAUUUAUUGUCAUAGACAUAUACGUAAUAGAAACAAUUUGAUCAAAUUGUCAUAGAAUUUUCAAAGAAGUAAUGCAAAAAAAUUACAAGGAGGAGAAAUAUUUGCAAAAUAAAAUAAAGCUGAUAUCAUGAAAUGGUAAAACAAACGCGAUGUUUUGCUAUUAUCUACCAAACAUUCUACAAAUAUGGCUGUUGUUAAAAAAAAAGUAUAUGAUAACGUUUAAUCGAACUUUAAUUAAACUUUUUAUUGAUUAUAAUGAAACCAAGAGUUCCAUUGAUAUUUCUAACCAAUUGGCACCAUACAGUAAUCCAUUACGUAAAACUUUAAAAUAGUAUAAAAAAGUAUGAUUUGAGCUUUUAUUAAAUACAUCAGUUGUAAAUGUUUGAAUAUUAUAUAAUAUCCAGCAACAUAAAUCUAUAUCGAUAGUAGAAUUCAGAAGACAAGUUAUUUAUUCAUGUCACUGUUAGGAUGAAAACAACGAUUUAUCUGUUCAAAUUACAACAAAUUCUACAAAACGUCAUGAAAUUAAAAAAUAGGAGGGCAAAGUUAGAAAACAUUGUAGUUCUUGUUACAAACGAAAUAUAAAACAUUUGAUAUUGAAGUAGAAAGACAAAAAAUUAUGAGAAUAGUAUCGUUUUACAUCCAAAUAAGCCCUUUUGUGCAUUCCUUGUUUUAACAAAGUGAAUCAUAUGUAAUUAUUAAAUAUUGUAAAUAUAACAAUUAAACAAAAUUAUUUGCUUUGUUCUAUA